GGGCACAUGGUGUAGUUGGUUUAUCACGCUCGCUUCGCAUUGCACAUGUGAGUGGGCAUCUGAAUGUUUCUGCGAGAGGUGUCCGGUUCAAUUCCGGAUGUGUCCA